UCAAGGAAAGGUUGGACGUGGUGCUUCGGGACAUGGUUUAGUGGGUGACAUUGGCAUGGUGAUGGUUGGACCAGAUAAUCUUGAAGGUCUCUUCCAACCUUAAUGAUUCUAUGAUUCUAACACAGUGCUCUUUUACAGUCCUUACAAAUAAAAGGUUGUCAAAGUGUUUUCAGACCCUGUGCCAAGCCUUGCGGCACUGAGAUCAGGAUAGCUUAUCAACUGCAUGUCAAAGGACCAUGAAUGCUUGAGAAAAUGUCAUUGUGGAAUCUCCGUCCUUGGAGAUAACUGAAACUCAGCUGAACAAGUUCAUGGGCAACCUAUCUUAUUGGUCAUGUGUUGAGCAGAGGGCUGGUUGGGCCUUUUGGAGCUUUUUCCAGCCUAAGUUACUCUAUGAAUUUCUAUGGUGAAAGGUGUUUAAUUCUCUGUUCUUAUAUUGCAUGUAUACCUUUUUUUGUGAAGUGUUAAAAGGGUGCUUUCUUUAUUUCUUACCUUUGUUUUCCUGCAAACAGGAUAUAAUUGCCUGUCACAGCAUUAGCCCACAGCCUCUCUUUUCAGGAAACAGUUUUGAAAAUGUUGAAUCUGCAAUGAAUGUUCAGUAGAGCUGGUCAAAAAACCCAAAACAUUUCUUACAAAAACCAUGUUCCUUUUUUGGUUGAAUAAUCCCAACCAUCUUUAUGUGCCAUUUCAUGGGGGAGAAUCCAAACCAAGAUUGUUAAGGGGAGAGUGAUGGUGUUUUACAACUUCUAAUACCAAAACCUUUUAAAAUGAAAAAUGUGAUAGGUGUUCAUUAGCCAGACAUGUGAUUUCUUAGAUUAUCAUGACAUCUUCAACGCUGUUAAAAACCCCAUAGAAAGCAUUUUGGUAUACUUAAAUUGAUUGCACUUCCCUCCAACUUUUCUACUUUUUCACGUUCCUAUGAGACCCCACUUUGAACUGCUACUUUUUUAGUUGAUAAUUUAAAACUUUGCUGAGGCACAGCAAUUUUUCUGAAUUUGGUGGCUUCACUUGAUGUCACUGACAUUAAUGUGCAAAUUCCAUUUUUUUUUUUUUUUUGCUAUAUAACUAAAUAAAAGGAUCACAUGCUUGUCUGUCAGAUACAAUUA